UAAUACGUAGAAGGCAAGCGUUAUCCGGAUUUAUUGGGCGUAAAGAGGGUGUAGGCGGCUCUUCAAGUCGGAUGUAAAAUCUCCCGGCUUAACCGGGAGGGAUCAUUCGAUACUGUUGGGCUAGAGUGCAGCAGGGGGAGACGGAAUUCCCGGUGGAGUGGUGAAAUGCGUAGAUAUCGGGAGGAACACCAGUGGCGAAGGCGGUCUUCUGGGCUGUUACUGACGCUGAGACCCGAAGGCGUGGGGAGCGAACAGGAUUAGAUACCCUGGUAGUCCACGCAGUAAACGAUGGACACUAGGUAUAGGGAGUAUCGACCCUUUCUGUGCCGAAGUUAACGCAUUAAGUGUCCCGCCUGGGGAGUACGGUCGCAAGACUA
rnacentral:rRNA from 1 species